CAAGGACUCUCUCUGGAAGCCCAUGGUCCACGCCGUCCUCACUUUCCGAAUCCUUUGAAGUCGUUGACAGAUCUGGCCAUGUUAAGAAAAGGCAUGUUGAAAGCACUUGUCGGAGAUGCAACAUGAAAGGACACUAGUACUAGACGUGUCGUAUACCAAACAAUUUAGCCGAUAUGUACCAAUCUUCGUAAAAGGCGAAAGAAAGGGAUGUUGAAACUAAUCUCUUCUGUGAUGAGCCGGGACCUUCCUUUAAAGGCCAACAUGAUGAUACUCAUCUUGAUAUGACAGAUUCUCUCGAUUGAUCAUGACAACGAGAAAAUUAAUGUAAUAUAUUAUAGCUAUAUGUAUAAUCAU
rnacentral:sRNA from 1 species